AGUGAACGCUGGCGGUAGGCCUAACACAUGCAAGUCGAACGGCAGCACAGUAAGAGCUUGCUCUUACGGGUGGCGAGUGGCGGACGGGUGAGGAAUACAUCGGAAUCUACUUUUUCGUGGGGGAUAACGUAGGGAAACUUACGCUAAUACCGCAUACGACCUACGGGUGAAAGCAGGGGAUCUUCGGACCUUGCGCGAUUGAAUGAGCCGAUGUCGGAUUAGCUAGUUGGCGGGGUAAAGGCCCACCAAGGCGACGAUCCGUAGCUGGUCUGAGAGGAUGAUCAGCCACACUGGAACUGAGACACGGUCCAGACUCCUACGGGAGGCAGCAGUGGGGAAUAUUGGACAAAGGGCGCAAGCCUGAUCCAGCCAUACCGCGUGGGCGAAGAAGGCCCUCGGGUUGUAAAGCCCUUUUGUUGGGAAAGAAAAGCAGCAGGUUAAUACCCCGCUGUUCUGACGGUACCCAAAGAAUAAGCACCGGCUAACUUCGUG
rnacentral:rRNA from 1 species